rnacentral:rRNA from 1 species
UUGCAUAUCAAUAAGCGGAGGAAAAGAAACCAACAGGGAUUGCCUCAGUAACGGCGAGUGAAGCGGCAAAAGCUCAAAUUUGAAAUCUGGCUCUUUCAGGGUCCGAGUUGUAAUUUGUAGAAGAUGCUUUGGGUGUGGCUCCGGUUUAAGUUCUUUGGAAUAUUACAUCACAGAGGGUGAGAAUCCCGUAUGUGACCGGUUGCCUCGCUCGUGUAAAGCUCUUUCAACGAGUCGAGUUGUUUGGGAAUGCAGCUCUAAAUGGGUGGUAUAUUUCAUCUAAAGCUAAAUACUGGCCAGAGACCGAUAGCGCACAAGUAGAGUGAUCGAAAGGUGAAAAGAACUUUGAAAAGAGAGUUAAACAGUACGUGAAAUUGUUGAAGGGGAAGCGCUUGCAACCAGACUUGGACUUAGUUGAUCAACCGGUGUUCUCACCGGUGCACUCUGCUAUGUACAGGCCAGCAUCGGUUUUGGUGGUUGGAUAAAGGCCGUGGGAAUGUGGCUCCUCUCGGGGAGUGUUAUAGCCCACGGUGCAAUGCAGCCUACCGGGACCGAGGACCGCGCUUCGGCUAGAUGC